GGAAUUGGCAGACGCGCUGGAUUCAAAAUCCAGUGUUGGCAACAACAUGUGGGUUCGAGUCCCACCUUCGGCACCA
rnacentral:tRNA from 1 species